ACGAACGCUGGCGGCGUGCUUAACACAUGCAAGUCGAACGAGAGGACAAGAGAAGCUUGCUUCUUUUGGAAUCGAGUGGCAAACGGGUGAGUAACACGUAAACAACCUGCCUUCAGGAUGGGGACAACAGACGGAAACGACUGCUAAUACCGAAUAAGUUCCAAGAGCCGCAUGGCCCAUGGAAGAAAAGGUGGCCUCUACCUGUAAGCUAUCGCCUGAAGAGGGGUUUGCGUCUGAUUAGCUGGUUGGAGGGGUAACGGCCCACCAAGGCGACGAUCAGUAGCCGGUCUGAGAGGAUGAACGGCCACACUGGAACUGAGACACGGUCCAGACUCCUACGGGAGGCAGCAGUGGGGAAUCUUCCGCAAUGGGCGAAAGCCUGACGGAGCAACGCCGCGUGAGUGAUGACGGCCUUCGGGUUGUAAAACUCUGUGAUCCGGGACGAAAAGGCAGAGUGCGAAGAACAAACUGCAUUGACGGUACCGGAAAAGCAAGCCACGGCUAACUACGUG
rnacentral:rRNA from 1 species